UCCCGCAGGUCUGGGAGGGGCCUGAGAUCCUGCAUUUCUCACAAGCUCCCAGGCCAUGUGAUAUUGCUCAGCUGUGC
rnacentral:miRNA from 1 species